rnacentral:misc_RNA from 1 species
GAUGAAGAACGUAGCGAAAUGCGAUAAGUAAUGUGAAUUGCAGAAUUCAGUGAAUCAUCGAAUCUUUGAACGCACCUUGCGCCCUUUGGCCAUUCCGAAGGGCAUGCCUGUUUGAGUAUCAUGAACACCUCAACUCUUUAUGGUUUUCCAUGAUGAGCUUGGACUCUGGGGGUUUUGCUGGCUCACAGUCGGCUCCUCUAAAAUGAAUCAGCUUACCAGUGUUUGGUGGGUAUCAUGGGUGUGAUAACUAUCUACGCUUGUGGUUUUUCCACCAGGUAACCUUCAGCAGUGGAGGUUCGCUGGAGCUCAUAGAUGUCUCUCCUCAGUGAGGACAGCCCUUUGAAUGUUUGAUCUCAAAUCAGGUAGGACUACCCGCUGAACUUAAGCAUAUCAAUAAGCAGAGGA